GAAUUUUGGACAAUGGGCGAAAGCCUGAUUCAGCAAUGCCGCGUGCAGGUUGAAGGCAUUCGGGUUGUAAACUGCUUUUGUACGGAACGAAAAGCUUUGGGUUAUUACCCAGGAGUCCUUACGGUACCGUAAGAAUAAGACCCGGCUAACUACGUGCCAGCAGCCGCGGUAAUACGUAGGGUGCAAGCGUUAAUCGGAAUUACUGGGCGUAAAGCGUGCGCAGGCGGGUUUGUAAGACAGAUGUGAAAUCCCCGGGCGCAACCUGGGAACUGCCUUUGUGACUGCAAGGCUAGAGUACGGCAGAGGGGGGUGGAAUUCCGCGUGUAGCAGUGAGAUGCGUAGAUAUGCGGAGGAACACCGAUGGCGAAGGCAACCCCCUGGGCCUGUACUGACGCUCAUGCACGAAAGCGUGGGGAGCAAACA
rnacentral:rRNA from 1 species